GAGAAACAAACCUGCUUGGUACUCGAUCCCACAGCCUUUAGGAUGCCCAGGUCAAACCACGGUGAUGUCCAUCCCAGGGGGAGAACACCCCCUGUCACCUUGGACUGGAUCGAUGGCCAAAAUGUCAAAUUACUCAGAGUUGCCAACCACAAAGAGGCUUUCAGGUUUAAGAAGCUGAACCAGGCCCUCAGCAGCAUGGAAAGUCUCCACAAGAACUGCUGGCUACGGGAGGAGAGGAGGGUCAAACAGAACCUGAGGAGGCUAAUUAGCGUGUCUCCUACUUUCAGAAGCCAAACACUAUUCCAGGGGCCUAGUGAUAACAGCAGGGCUGAGCUUAGUGGAGGGGGCAGCAGGGUACAGCUCCCCACCUGCCCCCAGUCCCAUGCCAGCCGAGAGGACUGUUCCUCCUGCUCUCUCAACAGCCCUCUGUUCAGGAUCCCCCAGAGCACCGCAGCCCCAUCCCCACAAACCAGCCACAAAAGUCUGAUUCUCCCUCUUACCAUUAACGGGGACACCAUGUCCCCCCACCAUCUGUGGCCCAGAGACACCCUGUCAGAGAACCCCUCCUCCUCAAGGGGGGGUAUGCGUUACGGGGGUCUGACCCCACGGCCCAGCCAGCACCCUAGUACCCUGAGCUUGACCCCCAGUACCCUGAGCCUGGAUGGCAGCACUACACUCCUGCUCCCCACCCCCAGCCUGCUGGCCUUGCUUCCCCCCCAGCUGUCCCCGGAGCUCCAUGGGCUACAGGAGGCUGUGCUGGGCUUCCCUCUGCUGCAGAAGAGGGUGAGGGAGCUGAUCACUCGGGCUAGGGCCACUGAACAGGAGAGACAGGACCGACGCAACCUCACACUACGUCCCCUGGAGGCUCUGCGCUGCAGGUACCUCCGUCUCUCUGAGAGUAACAUCAGAACUCUGCUCCAGCAGUGUAAGGACAGUGGCAUCGAUAUGGACAUCCAUCCUCAUAUGAAAGACUCUGACAUUGAUAUCAGCAAGCUAUUCAAGGACUCUCCCCCUCCAUCCCCGAGAUGAGAUACAGACACAGAUAGACACACAAAUCACGAACACACACACACGAUAAAUACAUUCUUGUAAAGUGCAACGCGUAUAGCCUCAUAACUGUGAUCGGUCCUUUAUAUCUUCAAAAACAAAAUACUCGAAAUGUGUUUUAUUUUUUGCUGUGUCUAAAAUUUAAGCUGUCCAAAUGAAUUUACAAAUUCAACGAGUCAAGUCACG
rnacentral:lncRNA from 1 species